ACGGAAGGCAGCAGUGAGGAAUAUUGGUCAAUGGGCGAGAGCUUGAACCAGCCAAGUCGCGUGCGGGACGAAGGCCCUACGGGUCGUAAACCGCUUUUAUACGGGAAUAAAGUGCGCCACGUGUGGCGUUUUGCAGGUACCGUAGGAAUAAGGAUCGGCUAACUCCGUGCCAGCAGCCGCGGUAAUACGGAGGAUCCGAGCGUUAUCCGGAUUUAUUGGGUUUAAAGGGAGCGUAGGCGGGAAGUCAAGUCAGCUGUGAAAUGUAGUCGCUCAACGUCUGCACUGCAGUUGAAACUGGUUUUCUUGAGUGCGUAAGAGGCAGGUGGAAUUUGUCGUGUAGCGGUGAAAUGCUUAGAUAUGACGAAGAACUCCGAUUGCGAAGGCAGCCUGCUGGGCCGCAACUGACGCUGAAGCUCGAAGGUGCGGGUAUCAAACAGGAUUAGAUACCCUGGUA
rnacentral:rRNA from 1 species